rnacentral:rRNA from 1 species
UACGAAGGGGGCUAGCGUUGUUCGGAAUUACUGGGCGUAAAGCGCACGUAGGCGGCUUUGUAAGUUAGAGGUGAAAGCCUGGGGCUCAACCCCAGAAUUGCCUUUGAUACUGCAUGGCUUGAAUCCAGGAGAGGUGAGUGGAAUUCCGAGUGUAGAGGUGAAAUUCGUAGAUAUUCGGAAGAACACCAGUGGCGAAGGCGACUCACUGGACACGUAUUGAC